rnacentral:tRNA from 1 species
AGGCGGAUAGCUCAACGGUUAGAGCAACUCUUAUACACGGAGGAGGCUGCAUGGUUCAAGUCCUGCUCCGCCUACCA